GGGGCAGAUGGGGCACCGGCUGUCCUCUGGGUCCCCAACACCAGUGUGCCCACCCUGAUGGAUCUUACCAGCUUGCAUGGCUUUCCCUACCAGUCUCAAGUGUGCUGUCGUUCCGAUGUGACACAGAAGAUAUUAGCGGUACCCACUCUUUAAGGACACGACUCCGAGCAGUCACCAAGAGCUUUAGGGCUCCAGACACAGGGGCUGCACUUGCGUUGUGGAGCAAUGCCCUUGAAAAAGAGCAUAGGAAGUGCUAAGAAGUCGGGACUGGGAACUUCCCGUUGGAGACAGAAAGAUUUGAGCGUUGGGGUAUGGACUUAAGACCCCAAAGAACUGGUGAAGCAGGCACACUAUCUAGUGAGCUGGGGACAGUCAACUCUGCAGGUUAGGAUGGCUCGGCAUUUCCAGGCCUCCAUGCAAGGAGUUUGGUCUAAGCAGCUUCACACAUUCCGAGUCAACGUGAUGUUACUUAGCUUGUUCGUUUAGUUGAUUAUAACCCUUUAGAUUUCACGGAGUCAAAAGAGGCAAGUUUCCAUUCUGUGUGCUCAGACUUUAAAAUCUUUAUUUUAAAAAAAAAAAAAUCUGUGAAUAUGUUUGCAGUUGAGGCGUCGCAGUUUCCUCUCUCUUGCUCCAGCUUGUCUGAGAGGUCUAGUUGUUUAGUCCCCAAACUCAAUGGAAGGGACCAGUAGUUCCCACCACCCACAGGAAAGCAGUGUCUCUGCCCUCCAGGUUUCUAACAGUGUGUCCUCACAGGAGACGGACUGGACAGAGCCCUGGCUCCUAGGGCUCCUUGCCUUCCACCUGCUGUGCCUACUUCUCACAUGCUUCUCCGCACAGAGGUAUAAACUACAGAUUGGCCAUUUCCUUUGUCUGGUAGUGUUAGUCUAUUGUGCCGAGUACAUCAACGAAGUGGCUGCAAUGAACUGGAGAUUGUUCGCAAAGUAUCAGUACUUUGACUCCCGGGGAAUGUUUAUUUCUCUUGUGUUCUCAGCACCGCUGCUCUUCAACGCCAUGGUCAUUGUGAUUAUGUGGGUACGGAAGACUUUGACUGUGAUGAGUGACCUGAAGAACUUACAGGAGAGGAGAAAGGAGAGGAAGAGGCGAAGAAAAGAAGAAUAGCACUGAGCUGGCCACACCGUGUUUGUCCUCUGACUUGGUUGUUUCCAUCUGGGAGCUGCAUAUGGCCCAGAUGUCUUCUGUCAGCUGACUCAUGGUUGGAAAAACACACCACAAAUGGUUCUUAUAUUUUACUCUGUUUGGAGCCCUCGUAAAGCUGUUCUUAAAAAACUAAUGACAUGACCUGGAAGCAUGGUGAAUGGGGACCCAUCCUUUACAUGGGGAGCUUUCUGGCUCAGCCACAUCAUAUACAGCUUCUCACAAGUUGCUGGUAGAUCUCACGAUGUGACUAGAGGUCACGCAGGUUUGAGUGUGGAAACUGGGAAAUAAACAGCCCCAUCCUUCUGUGAGCACUACCUGCUCCCUCUUCUGUCUCUAGCCUGCAGUGGUGGCUAUCAGCUAAAGGUGGGUGUGUUCCCCAGAAAUUUGCUGAUGGUUGUCACCUCAGGUGGACGUGGCACUUGUGUCCAUAGGAUAGAGCCUAGGUUGCUGAAAUCCUACAGGGUACAAGACAGCCCCACCAUGGAGUAUUGCUGUGUAUAUAAUGUCAGCAGUACCCAGGCUGAGGGAGCAGUGGGCAGGUCUGGAAAAGAAUGCAGUGUGUUUCAGUUCCCAUGAAGCUAGGCCUCUAAAUAAUUUAGUUGGGGCUAUGCCACUGGAAAUGUUUUGUUUAAAAAUAUUAAGCUAGAAUGAAAGCUGUAAAAUCAAGACUCCGUGGAAAAUAGUAUGUCAAAUGAACCGUUUGGCUUUGUUUUUUCUGGAUACAGAAUUAUAAAUACCUAUAUACUCAGAAUGGCUUAGCUGUUCCUACCCAGAUGUGACAAGUGCAGACAGUUCUUCCUGAGUAUCACAGCUUGUGCAGCUCGGGGCUGGCAAGCACAGCAGGGUGUAUUGGCACCUGUGCUUCUGUUUUGUCAGACACCCUUGGUUUCUAAGGAAUCUGGAGAUUACAAGUGACUGAGACCCAAACUCAGAGACAGUAUUUAUUACUGGAAAUACUAUAUACUCUUGGCUUUAGUUUAAAGAAAUAAUUUGUGAAUUAUUCAUUUAAUAGGAUUUUUUUCCUUUCUAAAUGAAACAGUCUUCAAAGUUCUAAACUACAAUAAAAUCUAGUUAUAAGUAUUUAAAUGGUUAAAAGUAGAUCGUUUGAUAAACUACGGUUAUGUUCUGAAACGCUGUUAUAUAGUUUUUAAUGUUUAUCCGGCUUUAGGCUUUAACUGAAGGUCUAUGGACGGACGUGUGACAACCUGAAAUCCUUAUGGUGUGAGUCCGUGGCUCCUACUGCAGCACUUAACCUGAUUCGUGUUCCCAGUCUCUUGAUUUGUUCCACUUUACAUUGAACAAAAAAGUGCCAAAGAAAAUAGCACACUGUAGUAAGUCAAAUUUUGAAUUUAAAAUCACAGUUAAGUCAUGGACAUUGUAUCUAAGGGUAUACCUAAGUUUCUGAAAUUUUCUGGUUCAGGAUAUCUGAUCAUUUUAUGGUUACAAAGGUGCUUACUAUGACAUUGAUUAGUUACACAGAAAAUAAGAACAAAUUAGUUAGAUCAAUCUGAAACAGUAGAGUGUCACAUAGGUCUGGAGCUCACCAACCAGAUCUGUUCCCUCAGGCCUUUAUGUCCGAGGCCAGUAGUGCUGAAUGGUUAGAGAGCAGUUAAAAUGUCUGAGUUCUGGCAUGUGUUGGCAUUAAUACCUCAGACUGUGUCACCAUGACCUUCACUUUGGGCUUUAUGCCUUGUCUCUGCAUGUGUGGUUGUGGACGCACGUGUGCUUAGUUUUUAAGAUAAUUAAUAUCUGUGUGUGUUUUAGAAAACGAGAGCUUUGGAUUAGAGAGAUGGUUCAGUUGGUAUUUUUCAUUUAAGCAUGAAGACUGAGUUUGAACACCAAACUCCCUUAACAUUUGCUCCCAAGUGUUACAAGCCAAGUCCAGUCACUGGAAAACCUACUUGAUAGAAGGAAGGAGCCCACACUACAAGUUGUCCUCUAACUAUAUAUGCACACAAAAUAAAGUGGUCUGUAGUCAUUCCUGAUGAACAACACCUGAAGUUGUCCUCUGGCUUUCACACAUGCACAUGUGCACACUGGUACACACAUAACACAUAUACAAAUGUUUUGUGUUUCCUGAAAUUCACUCAGUGGCUAAAAUUAUACUUGAAGGAACUUCUUAAUAUUUUGUUCUUAUAUUAAGGACAACCCUGCAAGCUGGAACUAUGAACAAGCAAUUGGGUUCAGUGCUGCUCUGAGGAUUCUACAGAUUUGACCAGUGCUGUGUUCACACUUCUGUAAAGGAAGGUUUAUAGGCAACUGAUAGACACAGUGAACGCUCACUGAAUAGUUGUGGAAAAGCACUGGAAAGGCCUGAAAUAACCAUUUAAUACAUUCCAGACCAUGAAACUUCAUGUUUGCUGAUUAUUAUGCAUUGAUAUACAAUAAAAUAUGUUUGAUAAUAUACAAUGU
rnacentral:lncRNA from 1 species